rnacentral:rRNA from 1 species
GUAUUGAAAGACAAGUUGACACAUGCUCCUUUACUCCAACUUCCUGAUUUUAAUAAGACUUUUGAGCUUGAAUGUGAUGCUAGUGGAAUUGGAUUAGGAGGUGUGUUAUUACAAGAUGGCAAACCUGUUGCAUACUUUUUUGAAAAAUUGAGUGGGCCUAGUCUUAAUUAUUCUAAUUAUGAUAAAGAAUUAUAUGCUCUUGUUCGGACUUUAGAAACAUGGCAACAUUAUUUAUGGCCCAAAGAAUUUGUUAUACAUUCUGAUCAUGAAUCUUUGAAACAUAUUAAAAGUCAAGCUAAACUGAAUCGUAGGCAUGCUAAAUGGGUUGAAUUCAUUGAGGCUUUCCCUUAUGUCAUUAAACACAAGAAGGGAAAAGAAAAUGUUAUUGCUGAUGCAUUGUCUCGUCACUAUACUAUGCUUUCACAACUUGACUUCAAAAUAUUUGGUUUGGAGACCAUCAAAGAUCAAUAUGUGCAUGAUGCUGAUUUUAAAGAUGUAAUGCAGAAUUGUAAAGAAGGAAGAAUGUGGAACAAGUUUGUUGUUAACGAUGGAUUUGUGUUUCGUGCUAACAAGCUAUGCAUUCCAGCUAGCUCCGUUCAUCUUUUGUUGUUGCAGGAGGCGCAUGGAGGAGGAUUAAUGGGACACUUUGGCGUGAAGAAGACGGAGGGCGUACUUGCUACACAUUUCUUUUGGCCAAAGAUGAGACGGGAUGUUGAGCGUUUUAUUGCUCGCUGCACUACAUGUCAAAAAGCUAAGUCACGACUCAAUCCU